rnacentral:lncRNA from 1 species
UCGAAAUUCGAAAUCGAAUUUUGAAUGGAUUGUUGGAUGAUAUUUUGGGAAUUAGUUGGGAAUUCGAAAUUCGAAAUUCAAAUUUCGAAUGGGUUGUUGGAUGAUAUUUUGGGAAUUGGUUGGGAAUUCGAAAUUCAAAAUCGAAUUUUGAAUGGGUUGUUGGAUGAUAUUUUGGGAAUUGGUUCGGAAUUCGAAAUUCGAAAUCAAAUUUUGAAUGGAUUGUUGGAUGAUAUUUUGGGAAUUGGUUAGGGAAUUCAAAAUUCGAAAUCGAAUUUCGAAUGGGUUAUUGGAUGAUGUUUUGGGAAUUGGUUAGCGAAUUCAAAAUUCGAAAUCGAAUUUUGAAUGGGUUAUUGGAUGAUGUUUUGGGAAUUGGUUAGGGAAUUUCGAAAAUCGAAUUUUGAAUGGGUUGUUGGAUGAUAUUUUGGGAAUUGUUUAGGGAAUUCAAAAUUUGAAAUCGAAUUUUGAAUGGGUUGUUGGAUGAUAUUUUGGAAAUUGGUUAGGGAGUUCGAAAUUCAAAAUUCAAAAAUCGAAUUUUGAAUAGAUUGUUGGAUGAUAUUUUGGGAAUUGGUUGGGAGUUUGAAAUUCGAAAUUCAAAAAUCGAAUUUUGAAUGGAUUGUGAUUUGAAAUCAAAUUUCAAACCGAUAUUUUAUAUGAUGUGGAUGUGGGCCGUCGUUAAU